rnacentral:pre_miRNA from 1 species
UGUGAAAUUGCUGGGGCACAUGGUAACUCUUAUAUUUUUGAAGAAUUGCCAAACUCCUUUUCAAAGUAACUAGACUAUAUUUCAUUAACACCAACAGU